rnacentral:rRNA from 1 species
GAUGAACGCUGGCGGCGUGCCUAAUACAUGCAAGUCGAGCGAACAGACGAGGAGCUUGCUCCUCUGACGUUAGCGGCGGACGGGUGAGUAACACGUGGAUAACCUACCUAUAAGACCGGGAUAACUUCGGGAAACCGGAGCUAAUACCGGAUAAUAUAUUGAACCGCAUGGUUCAAUAGUGAAAGACGGUUUUGCUGUCACUUAUAGAUGGAUCCGUGCCGCAUUAGCUAGUUGGUAAGGUAACGGCUUACCAAGGCAACGAUGCGUAGCCGACCUGAGAGGGUGAUCGGCCACACUGGAACUGAGACACGGUCAAGACUCCUACGGGAGGCAGCAGUAGGGAAUCUUCCGCAAUGGGCGAAAGCCUGACGGAGCAACGCCGCGUGAGUGAUGAAGGUCUUCGGAUCGUAAAACUCUGUUAUUAGGGAAGAACAAAUGUGUAAGUAACUAUGCACGUCUUGACGGUACCUAAUCAGAAAGCCACGGCUAACUACGUG